UUUGGCAGGUAUUGAAUGAUUAACAGAUGCAACAAGAGGCACAAGAGACGAGAUGAGUAACAGAUUAUGAGAAAACUGCACUAGUCUUAUUGCUGCAUUCCACCAGUCUAUUCCGCACAUCUAUAAAAGACUUCAAAAGAUCUUCCAGCUAAAUCCAAUGUAAACAAGAUGGCAUUUUAACAGGGCAACGGUCAAAGCUGACCAUAAAGAAAAACAAUAUUAUGAACAUCAAAUAGUUGGUGUCUGUUUAAACUCCCACUCACUGCACAUUCUUUGCAGUAACUUGUUUGCAAUGCAAUGAUUCUGGUAGAUCUCGGCCAUUUCCCAACAAAUAUCGAGAACCUCCUGGUAGUGCCUAAGGCUGAUGCUUCAUGUUGCCAAAUAGUGGGAUCUAGCAGACUCUGGAACAAGCACGCACACAUUCCCACUUGCCUAUUGCAACUCCCGUACUAUCUGUACAAAUACCCAGCAGCGAAUGCACAAGUGCGGGAAUGACUGAUUAACCAAAUCCAAACCCUUCAUUUGCCUCAUGAAUAGCUAAUAGCAACCUCUCUUGCAGCUGGUCUUUGGAUGUGUAUUCAGGCAAGUCCAGUUGGUUAAAGCUGCAGCGAACAGAAGCAGAAUAGCAAAUCAGUAUAUACCUCAAUGAAACAAUUAUGGUUGCUGACAAGUCAAAAGCAUAACGGACUAGUGAAGAUUGGUUACCAAGUAUGAGCUGAGGGCAGAUGGUUGGUGCUGCCGUAUGCCUUGUGUAUCUGGAACCUUUGUGGCCCAGAUAUUCCUUGGAGCGCACUGAAACCCUCCAAAGGUACCUGCAGUUCACUUCAAAGCAUAAAACACCACAUAUAACAUACACUAAGAGCAUCAUUGACAGCAGAAUGGAUGCUGCAGCAAAGAUACAUAAAUUGAAUUCUAUAUAAAAAUGUUUUGAGAAAUCAGUCUCAAAGGAAGGGAUCGGGAGUUAACAGGUACCCUAGAAAAAAAAUUCAUAAAUAAUAAUAGCUUCAAAAUUUAAAAGGUCGUGCUUUCACCAAAUACCUUUGAAGUGCCAGUAACGAACUGGAGAAAUCGAGCUUUGUCCUCCUUGCUGAAACCUUGUACAAUUUCCCAGAACCAUUGAAUAACUGGAGAAGCUAUGCUGUAGCCAGAAUACUCGGUAUUUGCCUUUAGGUCGUCCACUGAAAGCAGAUGUACAAAAUAAGUAGAGCACAUGCAAGAUCUAAACGGAUCAUUAUAGAACUGAAUUAACUCUUUCAACUCACAGUCAAUAUCAGGGAGUCCACUGAUUAGCAGUUCAAACUCUUUGUCAUUAAAAAUGGAUAUUAGCUCGCGAGGAAUGAGCUCAUUAAAUCCUUCCAUGAAAGCAUUAAUCUGAGGCCUAAUUGCAGUGGUUAAACGAUGCUCUGCUACCCUAUCCACAUAUUCAUGCUUGUUCUCCUCAGUGACCCUAAUGUUACGCCCUCCAGGAAUCAACUCACAAUCAGUUACCUGCAUAGAGUUGGUACUUACAGUCACCACAUUAACCAAAGAGAGAAAGGAGCGAGACACAGAGAAAGGGGGGGAGAGGGCGUACCUCAGCUUUCUCAUAUAAUAUCAGCUUCUCUUCAUCUGCAUCCAUGCUAAAUGUGAGGUCCAGGACAUCACUUAUGUCAUUCUGCACAAAAGAAAAGGAAAAUAUGUCACAUCUGGACUGUCAACGGUCGGCAUAAACAUAAACGUACACACAGAAAUAUAUACCUCAAGCAUCCACUUAAGGUUUCUGUAGUAAGCAGGAUCAAUGGCUUCAAUAUCAUGGUAAGUAACCUUGGCACCAAGUAUGUGCUUGUAGAAAGAUCUAGUGAAAUGGACAUCCAAAAGUUGGGCAUCAAAGAGAGCUUUUCCAAC
rnacentral:lncRNA from 1 species